rnacentral:rRNA from 1 species
CGGCACGCCUAAUACAUGCAAGUCGAACGAGAAAGCACCUCGGUGUGAGUACAGUGGCGGACGGGUGAGUAACGCGUAGGAAUCUACCUAGUAGUGGGGGACAACUCGGGGAAACUCGAGCUAAUACCGCAUACGCUCUAAGGAGGAAAGUGGGGGACCUUUGGGCCUCACGCUAUUAGAGGAGCCUGCGUUAGAUUAGCUAGUUGGUGAGGUAAAGGCUCACCAAGGCUACGAUCUAUAGCUGGUCUGAGAGGACGAUCAGCCACACUGGAACUGAGACACGGUCCAGACUCCUACGGGAGGCAGCAGUAGGGAAUCUUGGGCAAUGGGCGAAAGCCUGACCCAGCGAUGCCGCGUGUGCGAAGAAGGCCUUAGGGUUGUAAAGCACUUUCAGUUGCGAAGAAAAGCUGCGAUUUAAUACAUCGCGGUCUUGACGUUAACAACAGAAGAAGUACCGGCUAA